GGUUAAGUUAGAAAGGGCGCACGGUGGAUGCCUUGACACUAGGAGUCGAUGAAGGACGGGACUAACGCCGAUAUGCUUCGGGGAGCUGUAAGUAAGCUUUGAUCCGAAGAUUUCCGAAUGGGGAAACCCACCAUACGUAAUGGUAUGGUAUCCUUAUCUGAAUACAUAGGAUAAGGAAGACAGACCCAGGGAACUGAAACAUCUAAGUACCUGGAGGAAGAGAAAGCAAAUGCGAUUUCCUGAGUAGCGGCGAGCGAAACGGAACAUAGCCCAAACCAAGAGGCUUGCCUCUUGGGGUUGUAGGACAUUCUAUACGGAGUUACAAAGGAACGAGGUAGACGAAGCGACCUGGAAAGGUCCGUCGUAGAGGGUAACAACCCCGUAGUCGAAACUUCGUUCUCUCUUGAAUGUAUCCUGAGUACGGCGGAACACGUGAAAUUCCGUCGGAAUCUGGGAGGACCAUCUCCCAAGGCUAAAUACUCCCUAGUGAUCGAUAGUGAACCAGUACCGUGAGGGAAAGGUGAAAAGCACCCCGGAAGGGGAGUGAAAGAGAUCCUGAAACCGUGUGCCUACAAAUAGUCAGAGCCCGUUAACGGGUGAUGGCGUGCCUUUUGUAGAAUGAACCGGCGAGUUACGAUCCCGUGCGAGGUUAAGCUGAAGAGGCGGAGCCGCAGCGAAAGCGAGUCUGAAUAGGGCGUUUAGUACGUGGUCGUAGACCCGAAACCAGGUGAUCUACCCAUGUCCAGGGUGAAGUUCAGGUAACACUGAAUGGAGGCCCGAACCCACGCACGUUGAAAAGUGCGGGGAUGAGGUGUGGGUAGCGGAGAAAUUCCAAUCGAACCUGGAGAUAGCUGGUUCUCCCCGAAAUAGCUUUAGGGCUAGCCUUAAGUGUAAGAGUCUUGGAGGUAGAGCACUGAUUGGACUAGGGGUCCUCAUCGGAUUACCGAAUUCAGUCAAACUCCGAAUGCCAAUGACUUAUCCUUAGGAGUCAGACUGCGAGUGAUAAGAUGAAGUCAGACCGGAAGGACUGGUGGAGUGCUUAGAAGUGAGAAUGCCGGUAUGAGUAGCGAAAGACGGGUGAGAAUCCCGUCCACCGAAUGCCUAAGGUUUCCUGAGGAAGGCUCGUCCGCUCAGGGUUAGUCAGGACCUAAGCCGAGGCCGACAGGCGUAGGCGAUGGACAACAGGUUGAUAUUCCUGUACCACCUCUUUAUCGUUUGAGCAAUGGAGGGACGCAGAAGGAUAGAAGAAGCGUGCGAUUGGUUGUGCACGUCCAAGCAGUUAGGCUGAUAAGUAGGCAAAUCCGCUUAUCGUGAAGGCUGAGCUGUGAUGGGGAAGCUCCUUAUGGAGCGAAGUCUUUGAUUCCCCGCUGCCAAGAAAAGCUUCUAGCGAGAUAAAAGGUGCCUGUACCGCAAACCGACACAGGUAGGCGAGGAGAGAAUCCUAAGGUGUGCGAGAGAACUCUGGUUAAGGAACUCGGCAAAAUGACCCCGUAACUUCGGGAGAAGGGGUGCUUUCUUAACGGAAAGCCGCAGUGAAUAGGCCCAAGCGACUGUUUAGCAAAAACACAGCUCUCUGCGAAGCCGUAAGGCGAAGUAUAGGGGGUGACACCUGCCCGGUGCUGGAAGGUUAAGGAGAGGGGUUAGCGUAAGCGAAGCUCUGAACUGAAGCCCCAGUAAACGGCGGCCGUAACUAUAACGGUCCUAAGGUAGCGAAAUUCCUUGUCGGGUAAGUUCCGACCCGCACGAAAGGUGUAACGAUUUGGGCACUGUCUCAACCAGAGACUCGGUGAAAUUAUAGUACCUGUGAAGAUGCAGGUUACCCGCGACAGGACGGAAAGACCCCGUGGAGCUUUACUGUAGCCUGAUAUUGAAUUUUGGUACAGUUUGUACAGGAUAGGCGGGAGCCUUUGAAACCGGAGCGCUAGCUUCGGUGGAGGCGCUGGUGGGAUACCGCCCUGACUGUAUUGAAAUUCUAACCUACGGGUCUUAUCGACCCGGGAGACAGUGUCAGGUGGGCAGUUUGACUGGGGCGGUCGCCUCCUAAAGUGUAACGGAGGCGCCCAAAGGUUCCCUCAGAAUGGUUGGAAAUCAUUCGUAGAGUGCAAAGGCAUAAGGGAGCUUGACUGCGAGACCUACAAGUCGAGCAGGGACGAAAGUCGGGCUUAGUGAUCCGGUGGUUCCGCAUGGAAGGGCCAUCGCUCAACGGAUAAAAGCUACCCCGGGGAUAACAGGCUUAUCUCCCCCAAGAGUCCACAUCGACGGGGAGGUUUGGCACCUCGAUGUCGGCUCAUCGCAUCCUGGGGCUGUAGUCGGUCCCAAGGGUUGGGCUGUUCGCCCAUUAAAGCGGUACGCGAGCUGGGUUCAGAACGUCGUGAGACAGUUCGGUCCCUAUCCGUCGUGGGCGUAGGAAAUUUGAGAGGAGCUGUCCUUAGUACGAGAGGACCGGGAUGGACGCACCGCUGGUGUACCAGUUGUUCUGCCAAGGGCAUAGCUGGGUAGCUAUGUGCGGAAGGGAUAAGUGCUGAAAGCAUCUAAGCAUGAAGCCCCCCUCAAGAUGAGAUUUCCCAUAGCGUAAGCUAGUAAGAUCCCUGAAAGAUGAUCAGGUUGAUAGGUUCGAGGUGGAAGCAUGGUGACAUGUGGAGCUGACGAAUACUAAUAGAUCGAGGACUUAACCAU
rnacentral:rRNA from 1 species